UUUGAGGCAGAAGCGCAGUGGAUGGUGAUAGCUAGGGUUAACACAUAUCGACCCUUUAGUUCGACUGCUUUCUUUGACAACAUGAAGUUCGUAUAGGGCCUUGCGCAGACCCCAAAAUUUCGUGAGGCUGGGUCAAACCUAUUCAUCUUCCAGAUGUUUUGUCUUGGAGAUUGGAAAAAAGUGGUCCAUGGGGGCCCUUGGCUAUUCAGGAAUUUGGCGGUGGUAAUCGAGGAUUAUGAUGGGAAGACAUACCCAAAGGAGUUUGUGCUAGAUGGACUGUAUGUUUGGGCUCAAAUCCACAAGGUACCGGAGAUUUAUCGUCGUGAACCAGUGGUAGAUCAGCUAGCUCGUAGGAUUGGGAAGGUGAGAGAGGUGCAACUCCAUCCAACACUGUACUAUGAAGGAGAUUAUGUGAGGGUGAGGGCUAGGGUUCUAACAGCAAAACCCUUGACCCGUUUCAUCCCGCUCACGGUGACUGGGGAAGGCACACGCAUGUUAAUGGUGAAGUAUGAAAAGAUCCCGUUUUUCUGUAAGGUCUGUGGAUUGAUGGGGCAUAUUUAUGAUGAAUGUGGCAAUGGGGUUUGGAAGGAGGAUGACUUUAAGUGGGGGUCUUGGAUGAUUGCAAAAUGCAGAACUGUAAAUUACAGCCAGCCGACUGGAGGGAGAGGUUUUUUCAUAGGAGAUCGUGGCCGUGGGCGAGCUAGGAACCCAGGCCGUAACAGGAGCUAA
rnacentral:rRNA from 1 species